rnacentral:misc_RNA from 1 species
AAAAAUUGCAAGAGAGAUUCAAUCCCAAGAGAUUCUGGGAGUCAAAAGGAUGGAUGAGAGUGAAGAAAGUUUACUGGACUGGGAUCUCGAUCAUAAACCAUCUACAUUGCGCAGUGACACAUGCCAGGAAAUAUAUAGAAGGGGUUUCUUUCGUAGAAAUCGCAAACUUCGCGUUAGACAUUACGCAGUGUCAGGUUCAGAAAAUUCUAAGUCACGAAUGGGAUACCCAAGACGUUCUAGUGGAUUUCUUCAAGGAGAAGGGAGUUCCAGUUCACUUGGCUAUUGUGCAAGCAGAAAUUCUGUUUCAGACCUUCAAAAUCCUAAGCACAUCAGUGCCCAGAAGGCUAUACAACUGGGUAAGGAGCUCAUUAGGUCAGCUUCGACA